GUCGAGAAUCUUUCACAAUGGGGGCAACCCUGAUGGAGCGACGCCGCGUGGAGGAUAAGGUCUUCGGAUUGUAAACUCCUGUCAUGCGUGAACAAGGUUGCUUGGAUAAUACCUGAGCAAAUUGAUGGUAGCGCAAGAGGAAGAGACGGCUAACUCUGUGCCAGCAGCCGCGGUAAUACAGAGGUCUCAAGCGUUGUUCGGAAUCACUGGGCGUAAAGGGUGCGUAGGUGGCGUGGCAAGUCAGAUGUGAAAGCCCGGGGCUCAACCUCGGAACUGCAUCCGAUACUGCCAUGCUAGAGUACUGGAGAGGUGACUAGAAUUCUCGGUGUAGCAGUGAAAUGAGUAGAUAUCGAGAGGAAUACCAAAGGCGUAGGCAGGUCACUGGACAGUUACUGACACUGAGGCACGAAGGCCAGGGGAGCGAACGGGAUUAGAUACCCCAGUAGUCC
rnacentral:rRNA from 1 species